CUCAAGAGUGAAGUCCUGCAUUUAUCCAAAGAACAGGUGGAGCACAGGUGGUGGGAGGGCAAGCUUCCCCAGUAUUGCCUGACAGGUAUGCUUCAAAUAUUAUUUGGGGUAGAUUUACAUUUAAGAACAGUAACAGAUUAUUGCUACUGAUUAGCUUGUUACA
rnacentral:sRNA from 1 species